UGGCUUCCACUUUCUACCCUGUCACUCUGUGUUUGUUCUUGAUUGGUUCUUCAAGGAAACUUUUCCUUGGACUGCAAACAAGCUGCAAGAGUUAUUGACAAUAAUUGAUCUCUGUGUAUACAGUUGCAUUCGCAUUCGAACGCAAGUUCAAUGGCAUUGUGAAGAAGCAAUUAGCGAUCGAUAGCCAAGAAGGUCAGGGUUUACGCAUGCUUCGCCCUUGAGGUGGUGUAAUAAAUUUUCUGUUCAACAUUUUGACUGCGCCUACCAACAUUGGUUAGUAACAGUCGCAAGUACUCGUAUAUCCAUCCUGGCAACCAGCGGGCAUUGCUAGAGUUCAAAAGGUCAUGCUGAUAUCUACCGGGAGAAAUUCAUCAUCAGGGAAACAGAAGUGCAAGCGGGGAUUGCGACCACUUUCGGGAAAUUUACUUUAGGAAACAGAAAAUGAUUAAAUAAAGGAAUAACUACUUGUAAAUAUUUAGGGGUUUGGUUUGUGAGGGCAAACACAUUGGUUGCUUGGGGUGUCCGGGAACCACUCGAAAAUGGUCCCGGAAGGUCACUCUGGUAUCUUCGAAGAAAGCCUUUGGAACAGGCACGCAGAACAAGUACAUAGUAAACUUUCAGUGGAAGAUAGCUCGGGAAAUGGAUCAAUACUUUCAAACUCUGCUCAGGAAUGAGCAGAGAAUUAAGAUAGGCAACUUGUUAUACUUUAUACUAUUAUUACUUUGUAAAAUAAAGUAAAGGUAACUUAUAA